rnacentral:rRNA from 1 species
CGCCCUUAGAGUUUGAUCAUGGCUCAGAUUGAACGCUGGCGGCAGGCCUAACACAUGCAAGUCGGACGGUAAGAGAGCUUGCUCUCGACGAGUGGCGGACGGGUGAGUAAUGUCUGGGAAACUGCCCGAUGGAGGGGGAUAACUACUGGAAACGGUAGCUAAUACCGCAUAACGUCGCAAGACCAAAGUGGUUCGUCACACCAUCGGAUGUGCCCAGAUGGGAUUAGCUAGUAGGUGGGGUAACGGCUCACCUAGGCGACGGUCCCUAGCUGGUCUGAGAGGAUGACCAGCCACACUGGAACUGAGACACGGUCCAGACUCCUACGGGAGGCAGCAGUGGGGAAUAUUGCACAAUGGGCGCAAGCCUGAUGCAGCCAUGCCGCGUGUAUGAGGAAGGCCUUCGGGUUGUAAAGUACUUUCAGCGGGGAGGGAAGGGGGCGAAUAAUUUCGUUCAUUGACGUUACCCGCAGAAGAAGCACCGGCUAAC